AUACCUGGCUUUUUACAUGUCUUAAUUCAUUUAACCCACAUAACCACCCUUGGAGGUAGGCACCAUUUAUUAUCUCCAUUUUAUAGAUGAGAAUACUGAGGCACGAGAAGUGAAGCAACUGUCCAAGGCCACACAGUAAGAGGCUAAGCUCCAUGUCAACCCAGCAGCAGGCUCCAGGGCCCAUGCUCCUAGACUGUGCUUGUGAAAUUUUGUGCCAGCAGCAUCGGGAAACGAAGCAAGCUGCCAUGUUGUGAGCUACCUGUAGAAAGGGCCAUCUGGGAAGAUACUAAAGUACCAAUCAACACCGAGCAAGAAACUGAGGCCCCAGCCACAAAACCUGGAAGGGACUGAAUUCUGCCAACAACCACAUGAGCUUGGGAGAAGAUCCUUCCCCAGUCAAGCCCUCAAUGAGGCGUCAGCCCUGCCCAACACCUUGAUUGCAGCCUUGCAGAGGACUCAGCCAAGCCAUGCCCAGGCUCCUGUGAGAAACUGAGGCAAUAAAUGUGUAUUGUUUUAA